UUCAGAGGUGUGCUCUUCUAGUCUCAUUUGUUAUCGGAAUUAACCAGACAAAUCACUCCACCAACUAAGAACGGCCAUGUACCAAAUAAAAUAUCACCAUAAAG